rnacentral:rRNA from 1 species
GACGAACGCUGGCGGCGUGCCUAAUACAUGCAAGUCGAACGAGAGCGACCGGUGCUUGCACUGGUCAAUCUAGUGGCGAACGGGUGAGUAACACGUGGGUAACCUGCCCAUCAGAGGGGGAUAACAUUCGGAAACGGAUGCUAAAACCGCAUAGGUCCUUUAACCGCAUGGUUGAAGGAGGAAAAGAGGCGCAAGCUUCUGCUGAUGGAUGGACCCGCGGUGCAUUAGCUAGUUGGUGAGGUAACGGCUCACCAAGGCCGUGAUGCAUAGCCGACCUGAGAGGGUGAUCGGCCACAUUGGGACUGAGACACGGCCCAAACUCCUACGGGAGGCAGCAGUAGGGAAUCUUCCGCAAUGGACGCAAGUCUGACGGAGCAACGCCGCGUGAGUGAAGAAGGUUUUCGGAUCGUAAAACUCUGUUGUUAGAGAAGAACAAGUGCUAGAGUAACUGUUAGCGCCUUGACGGUAUCUAACCAGAAAGCCACGGCUAACUACGUGCCAGCAGCCGCGGUAAUACGUAGGUGGCAAGCGUUGUCCGGAUUUAUUGGGCGUAAAGCGAGCGCAGGCGGUUCCUUAAGUCUGAUGUGAAAGCCCCCGGCUCAACCGGGGAGGGUCAUUGGAAACUGGGGAACUUGAGUGCAGAAGAGGAGAGUGGAAUUCCAUGUGUAGCGGUGAAAUGCGUAGAUAUAUGGAGGAACACCAGUGGCGAAGGCGACUCUCUGGUCUGUAA